rnacentral:rRNA from 1 species
AGCAGCCGCGGUAAUUCCAGCUCCAAUAGCGUAUAUUAAAGUUGUUGCAGUUAAAAAGCUCGUAGUUGAAUUUCGGGAUCAAUUUGUUGGUCGUGCCUCGGUACGUACUGGCAUUAUUGGUUUCUACCUCUUGACGAACUGUGAUGCCAUUAAUUUGGUGUUGCAGGAAAUCAGGACUGUUACCUUGAAAAAAU